rnacentral:lncRNA from 1 species
CAUCAAUCUUGUGCUUGUAUCUUAUAUAAUUCUUCUUGUAUUUGUAUUACACAUCAUAUAAUCAAAAAUGUUUAGGUCUAACUCCCACGAGUACCCCCAAUACUCCAAUUACUCCAACCCUACCACCUAUGAGAGGACCAUAUAUGAGGAGGAUUCCUAUGGUCGUCACAACCACAACCACCACCAUCACCAGCCUGAGACUCGCGAGCGAGUCGAGGUGGUAGAGUACGAGAAGAUGCCGGAGUAUGGUACUCGCGAAGUCGUCUACGAAGAAGUUGAAACCAACCGAAACUAUCCACACAGGCAUGGCCACUAUGACCUGUAAGCUUGUUACCAUGCAUGUGACAUGGUAAUUUUGCUAGGCAGGGCUACAUUAUAAAUAUAUGGGUGUGCUUUUGUAUUUAAUAAAUAAAAUCCUGCUUAGCUAGAUCUUUAUAUGUGUUAUUUUGUAUCGCUUCUUAUUAAUUAAUAAAUCUAUCUUACUUUGCAUUACUAUUAUAUAUACUUUUUAAUGUAUUUAAAUUACCAUGCAUGCCAUUUUUCUUUUUGUUAAUUAUUUACUUCUAGUGAUGAUAUAUAUAUUAAGAUCCUCGUAUAUACUAACUUAUUCUUUGAUUCAAAUGAAAAAUAAAUGUUAUACAUGGUGUGAUGUUCUAUAUCUUCCAAUUCCAAACAUAAUUAAUCAACUUGAUUCUCAUCACAUGUCUUGAACAUGAAAAAUAUAGUCAAGUUAGGUUGAUAAUAGUGGCAAAAUAUCAAAAUAUAUUUUAUAAGUGUUAGAGAUAUAAUUAUAUAUGUUGUUUUUUUUAUUAGGUUAAAUUUUUAGGAAAAGUGAUUUCAUGACAUAAUAUUAGAUUUUUAUAUUUAAAAGGUUUAGAGUUCGAUUCUUUGUAAAUUUUAAAAGUGGAAUAAAUUAGCAUAAAGCAAAUAAAAAUAGAAAAAAAGACUUAUGCAAAAAAUCAAACAAACUCAAAAAGAGACGCUUACUUAAGGAGGAGUGUAGAGAUAUAACAAUUUAUGUUACCUCUAUUAUCUUAAACUUUUAAAAGAAGUGAUAAAAAUUUGAGUUGAAAUCCUAAAAAUGAAUAAAUUCGACAAAUAAGUCUUUAUCGAUACAUACCUUAGUGGUAAAAAGAUAAAAAUAUUCUAUGUAUACUGAAAAUCAAUUAUUAUAUAUAUAUAUAUAUAUAUAUAUAUUAAUGAUUUANNNNNNNNNNNNNNNNNNNNNNNNNNNNNNNNNNNNNNNNNNNNNNNNNNNNNNNNNNNNNNNNNNNNNNNNNNNNNNNNNNNNNNNNNNNNNNNNNNNNNNNNNNNNNNNNNNNNNNNNNNNNNNNNNNNNNNNNNNNNNNNNNNNNNNNNNNNNNNNNNNNNNNNNNNNNNNNNNNNNNNNNNNNNNNNNNNNNNNNNNNNNNNNNNNNNNNNNNNNNNNNNNNNNNNNNNNNNNNNNNNNNNNNNNNNNNNNUCAAACAUUUUACAUAACAAGGUCCAACCAAGUAAUGAAUAUAUGUGUUUUUGGUCAUUGUUCGAUUUAUUUAUUUAUUUUUUCUUCUCCUCCUUAUUUUUUGUUCUUUAAAAGUUAGGAGUAUAUAAUUCAACUUUAGUAAAAAAAUUGUUUAUAUAAAUCCUUCAUUUUGAAGUAAAACACAAGAAGAUGCAGAAAAAAUUUUGUAUAAUAACAAAACAUGAAAAAGAAGAAGAAAAACAUGUUGGGAGAAAGAAAAAAAAAAUAAAAUAUGAAGAAAGAGUAGAAAAAGAAGAAAUUUAGGAAAAAAUUUUGGUGCCAUGGUUGAAAAAUUUCGAUACUAUUUUUAAGAAAUUUUAGUGUUAUUUUUGUUUUUAAUAACUUCUAAUUAGUUAAAAAAAUUAUGUGUCGUCGUUAAUAAAUUUUGGUGUCAAAAUUAAUUUUUUUUGUAUCAGGUUUAAAUAAUUUCGAUGUUAUUUUUUUGAUAAAUAAUGUAUAAUUCAAAACUCUUUUGCUCUUCUCCUUCAUCACCUUCGUCAUUUUUUUUUGUUCUUUAUUUUCUCUUUCUUAUUUCACCUUAUCAUAAUUUUUCUUGUUUUUAUUCUCUUAAGACGAAUAAAAAUAAGUAAAAAAAAAAUCAAAUAAAAAUAAAUAAAUAAAUAAAAAAUAUUGUAAUAACAUCAAGAAGGAGGAGGAAAAGCACGGGUGAACUAGAAAUUUUUUUUGAGAAAGACAAACAUAAAAAAUAAAAAAAAUAUAAGUUAAGAAAUGAAAAAAAUUGAAAAUUAAAAAAAGACUAAACUGAAAAAUUAGAGGUUUGGGAGGGGCAAUUGUCCCCCUUUCCCACUAACGUUCUCCGCCAUUGAGGAGAAGAAAUGAAAAAAACAUAGCAACAGCAACAACAAUAAAAAAAAUGACAAGAAGAAAAAAUACAUAAAGAAAAAAAAAUGUAUAAUUUAUGUACAUCUUAAAUGAUUGAUUUUUGUUAGAUUUAGACUAAUAUAAUUAAAAUUGGUUGAUAAAAAUAUUUGAAUAUACAUAGCAAAACUCAUAGUAAAAAUAAUCAAAUUUAUCGUAGAUAAAUAAUUAAUGAAUUAAAUACAUAGGUAGAAUACAAACACUUUAGUGAAACCAACGAUCCACAUGUAUAUAUGUGUUCGUUAGAGUUUGGACGAAAGAGAAAGAGUAACAAAUAAAAGCCUACCUAACAUAUCUAACAUUUUCAUGUUUUCAUAAACUUACUUGAUCGAUCCUAUUAAAUUUUAAAGUAUAGAAGGAGACAUAAAAUUGUUAUAUUUUUAAUAUUGUUCUCUUACACAAUAACCUCUCUUAUAGGUUGCGUAAAUUUUACAUUGAUUUUUUUUAUUAGUUUUAUGUUGAAUUAUUUUAUUUGAUAAACGAAGAUCAAAUUAUAAAUCUUUUAAUUAUAAAAAUUUUGAUAUCAUAUUAUAAAACUGAUCGAAAAAGAUAUAUAAAUUAUUAAUAUGUUGUGAAAAUUAGUAAAACUAAUUUUAAAAAAUAAAUAAAUAAAUAAUAACUAAAUAAAAUGACUAAUUUUUAGUAAAAAUGACUAAACCGAAGACAAAUUACAUAUGUCACUAAAUCUGUUAGUAAAAAUCGAUCGCUACGGUUAUUUUGUGUUACUAAACAAAUUAGAUGCUUAUAAAGAAAAUGAUAACUAAGAUAGAAUAUAUGACAAGUUUAUGCUCUUUUCUUUUCUUCUUUUUGAUUUAAUAGUUUUUUUUAUCAUAAUUAUUAGAGGUGUAUGACAUUUCCCUUUCAGGAGAUGUAAUGUCAUACUAGUAAAAAAUUAUUUAUUUUUGUAAUUAAUUACACUUUUAGAUUAAUAAAAGUUUAAAUUAUUAACAAAAAUAAUCUCAAAAAAUACCAACAACAGAUAAAUUGCAAAAAAUUUAAAAAUAUGAUUAGAUAUAUAUGUUCAAAAAGAACUUUAGAGUCGUUAUAAGAAUAAUUAGAAAAAUGAGAUCUUUUAAUAUUUAAAAUGUAGUGAUUUUAUAGUUAGUGAUUUUUUUUAUCAUUUAUGUUUUGAAGAAUAACCUAAAACUUUCUAAAAAGAAUGAAAAAUUUAUGUGUAGUGAUAAAUGCCCAGCGCGGAGAACGAAACGGCAAACAAAUACCACAGCAGAUCAAGAGACACGCACACAAGGGACGCGUCCCUCCCACGAUCAGCCGACCCAACGACAACGCAUGAGUGUUAACGUCACGCGCCACCAAUGACCUCCACGGUCAUCGCUGACGCGUCGGGGGCACUGUUACGGCCUGGCCCAAGACUCGCGCGGGUCAGCCCGACCCGAGACCCCGCCGGCCCAAUGGUGCGUCCUCCACCCGACCCGGACACGCGUCCCGUACGGCUCGCUCACAGCCGUGGGACAGCACCUUUGAGGACAUGGGCCUGCCCAUUCGAAGGGCCCACCACUGACAUGUAUAUAAGGGGGAGACUGGCUCUCCCCCCAAGGUACGUCACAUUCACACAUCAUUCCCUCUCCGCCUGCACAUAUUCUGACAAGGGCGUCGGAGUGUCUUUGCAGGUGGCACCCCCCCUUUCCCAUCAGAAGUACUCGGGACCUCGCUCACCCGGAACCAGGAAACCACGGCCAGACGAGCUCCUCCACCGUCCGAAGCAUUGACCUCAGGAUCCUAACCCGAACCGUCCGGUACCCGACCUACCGAACAGAUACAUACUAAUAAUAAUAAUAAUAAUAUUCUAAAUAAGAUAUUAUUGCAGGAUACAUGCAUAUAUGGAGGGAAACCAAAAUCAAUGAACGCCUACUUUAGAAUUAUUCUUCCGCGUUACAUUAUGCUAUUUUUUUCAUCAAUUAUUCACAUCUCCAUUUUAUAUGCAUAGUUUUUCCAAAGGUAGAGAAAUGGAAUCAAAAUUCCCUAAUUAUUAGCAAAUAUACUACAUUAUUAUACAUAUUGAGAAAAGCAACGGAAUUAGAUUCAGUUCUUAUCAAUUUGAAUUGGGGUAGAGAAUAUAAAGAAAUUAAUAAAAAAAAAAAAAUUAAGCACAUAUGAUAUCCUCUAUAUAUAGCCCUAAAAACCAACCUCAACAUGCAUCAAUUAUUUUUGUAUCUUGUAUUGUUCUGUUUUCAUAUUUUGUGAGUUUGUGAUUUUUUAAAAUAUUGUAUCCAUGGCCAACUUGUUCCGAUCCCACGAAUACCCAAACACUUACCAAACUUACGAAAAAACCUAUUACGAGGAGGAUCGUGUUGUUGAAGGAUCCUACGACCGCUUCAACAACCAUCACCACCACCACCAGCAGCCAGAGGUUCGCGAGCGAGUCGAGGUGGUAGAAUACGAGAGGAUGCCUGAAUAUGGAACUCGCGAAGUGAUUUAUGAAGAGGUUGAAACUGAUCGAGUGUACCCAUCACACAGGAACAAGCAUGGCCACCACUUUGGCCUCUAAGCUUGUUCAAUUGCCACUAAUUGCAUGUGAUUAUGGUAAUUUGCUAGGCAGGGUUACAUAAUCAUCUUCAUAAUAAUGUUACAAAAAUAUAUUGGUGUGGUGUGUGCUUGUACUAAUAAUUCCUGCUUGGCUUGAUCUUAUGUUUAAUUUUCAUCUUAUCAGUUAUUAAUAAAAGUUUGUUUUAUUAAUAUUGCACUAUAUAUUUUAAUUAUAUACUUAUAUUGUAUUUUAUAUAACAACCAUGC